CCAGCAGCCGCGGUAAUUCCAGCUCCAAUAGCGUAUAUUAAAGUUGUUGCAGUUAAAAAGCUCGUAGUUGGAUUUCUGUUAAUAAUUUAUAUAAAAUAUUUUGAUGAAUAUUUAUAUAAUAUUAACAUAAUUCAUAUUACUAUUUUUUUUUUUAGUAUAUGAAAUUUUACUUUGAGAAAAUUAGAGUGCUUAAAGCAGGCAUAUGCCUUGAAUACUCCAGCAUGGAAUAAUAUUAAAGAUUUUUAUCUUUUUUAUUGGUUCUAAGAUAAGAAUAAUGAUUAAUAGGGACAGUUGGGGGCAUUUGUAUUUAACAGUCAGAGGUGAAAUUCUUAGAUUUGUUAAAGACAAACUAAUGCGAAAGCAUUUGCCAAGGAUGUUUUCAUUAAUCAAGAACGAAAGUUAGGGGAUCGAAGACGAUCAGAUACCGUCGUAGUCUUAACCAUAAACUAUGCCAACUAGAGAUUGGAGGUUGUU
rnacentral:rRNA from 1 species